CCAAAACUUAGCUGCUCCAGUUCAGGCUGGCUGCACGCUUCAACCCUUUGUGAACCAAAAACCUUUACGCUUCGGCAGCUGGUUUCAUCUGUAAGCCUGCCGAUGGCACUCAUUUAAACCUCUCGUUGAACAUUUGUCUGAACUAAGACAUUUUCGAAUGAAAAUUA
rnacentral:misc_RNA from 1 species